rnacentral:rRNA from 1 species
GACGAACGCUGGCGGCGUGCUUAACACAUGCAAUUCGAACGGAAAGGCCCUGCUUUUGUGGGGUGCUCGAGUGGCGAACGGGUGAGUAACACGUGAGUAACCUGCCCUUGACUUUGGGAUAACUUCAGGAAACUGGGGCUAAUACCGGAUAGGAGCUCCUGCUGCAUGGUGUGGGUUGGAAAGUUUCGGCGGUUGGGGAUGGACUCGCGGCUUAUCAGCUUGUUGGUGGGGUAGUGGCUUAACAAGGCUUUGACGGGGAGCCGGCCUGAGAGGGUGACCGGCCACAUUGGGACUGAGAUACGGCCCAGGAUCCGACGGGAGGCAGGAGUGGGGAAUAUUGCACAAUGGGCGGAAGCCUGAUGCAGCAACGCCGCGUGCGGGAUGAAGGCCUUCGGGUUGUAAACCGCUUUCGCCUGUGACGAAGCGUGAGUGAAGGUAAUGGGUAAAGAAGCACCGGCUAACUACGUG